rnacentral:rRNA from 1 species
GGGGAAUAUUGGACAAUGGGCGAGAGCCUGAACCAGCCAAGUAGCGUGCAGGAUGACGGCCCUAUGGGUUGUAAACUGCUUUUAUAAGGGAAUAAAGUGAGUCUCGUGAGACUUUUUGCAUGUACCUUAUGAAUAAGGACCGGCUAAUUCCGUGCCAGCAGCCGCGGUAAUACGGAAGGUCCGGGCGUUAUCCGGAUUUAUUGGGUUUAAAGGGAGCGUAGGCCGGAGAUUAAGCGUGUUGUGAAAUGUAGAUGCUCAACAUCUGCACUGCAGCGCGAACUGGUUUCCUUGAGUACGCACAAAGUGGGCGGAAUUCGUGGUGUAGCGGUGAAAUGCUUAGAUAUCACGAAGAACUCCGAUUGCGAAGGCAGCUCACUGGAGCGCAACUGACGCUGAAGCUCGAAAGUGCGGGUAUCGAAC